rnacentral:rRNA from 1 species
UACAGAGGUCGCAAGCGUUGUUCGGAUUCAUUGGGCGUAAAGGGUGCGUAGGCGGCGCGGUAAGUCGGGUGUGAAAUCUCGGGGCUUAACUCCGAAACUGCAUUCGAUACUGCCGUGCUUGAGGACUGGAGAGGAGACUGGAAUUUACGGUGUAACGGUGAAAUGCGUAGAUAUCGUAAGGAAGACCAGUGGCGAAGGCGGGUCUCUGGACAGUUCCUGACGCUGAGGCACGAAGGCCAGGGGAGCAAACGGG